CCUACGGGAGGCAGCAGUAAGGGAUAUUGCGACAAUGGGCGAAAGCCUGACGCANGCAACNGCCGCGUGGAGGAUGAAGGCCUUCGGGUUGUAAACUCCUUUUCUGUGGGAAGAGGAAGGACGGUACCACAGGAAUAAGUCUCGGCUAACUACGUGCCAGCAGCCGCGGUAAU
rnacentral:rRNA from 1 species